rnacentral:rRNA from 1 species
AUUGAACGCUGGCGGCAUGCCUUACACAUGCAAGUCGAACGGCAGCGGACCUUCGGGUGCCGGCGAGUGGCGAACGGGUGAGUAAUGCAUCGGAACGUGCCAUUGAGUGGGGGAUAACGUAGCGAAAGUUACGCUAAUACCGCAUAUUCUGUGAGCAGGAAAGCAGGGGACCGCAAGGCCUUGCGCUCUUUGAGCGGCCGAUGUCAGAUUAGCUAGUUGGUGAGGUAAAGGCUUACCAAGGCGACGAUCUGUAGCGGGUCUGAGAGGAUGAUCCGCCACACUGGAACUGAGACACGGUCCAGACUCCUACGGGAGGCAGCAGUGAGGAAUAUUGCGCAAUGGAGGCAACUCUGACGCAGCCAUGCCGCGUGCAGGAAGAAGGCGCUACGCGUUGUAAACUGCUUUUAACCGGGAGAAACCCCAGGACGUGUCCUGGGUUGACGGUACCGGAGGAAUAAGCACCGGCUAACUUCGUGCCAGCA